AAGACAAAGGCAUCUCAGCAGUUGGUACCUCUUUAACUCUGAACUGGAAAAAAAUCAUCAUUCAGAAAUAAGAGUCCAGUUUGGUCUUGCACAUGGAAAUGUCUGUACAAAAGUGCCUGUAAACUGUCUGUCCCAGUAUCUACGCUAUCAUUAAGACAAGUUUGGGUUUAUCUUGUUUUGUUUUAACCUUCCAAAAGCUCACUAAAUGCUACUGACAUUCAAAACAUGGUCAAAGUAGUGAAAAAGAGAAGUUUAAAAAUUAGCAAUAUUUUAAUAUUAUCAAAAUAUAGUGUUUGCUGCAAAUACCUUCUGCCUUGCUUAAACAUGAAACCCAAUUUUUUUUAAAUAUGUGUUUGGAGAACACACAUAGCAGUGAACAAACCAGCCCAGGUGAAUGAUGUUUUAAAGGCUCACUAUUUCAAUAAUUUCCUUCAACCCAACAGUACUUCAAUAAGGAAAUAACAGAAGAAAUCAUUCUUUUUACCUUCAGGUGUCAUAUAAACAUAUUUAGUGAAAGAUCUCUCUGUAAAUAAUUUUUCUAAGAGAAAAGACUCUUGAGUUUCCUAAGCAUUUAUGGUUUCACAAGCUGUUUCCAAGUCAUUCAUUUAUCCAAGGAUGAAUGAACCUAACAAGGAUCCAUGUUCUAGCAAUUUUGAUUUAAAAGCAACAAUAAAUUAAAUUUCUUUGUAAA